GCGUGAGUGAUGAAGGCCUUCGGGUCGUAAAGCUCUUUUACCAGGGAUGAUAAUGACAGUACCUGGAGAAUAAGCUCCGGCUAACUCCGUGCCAGCAGCCGCGGUAAUACGGAGGGAGCUAGCGUUGUUCGGAAUUACUGGGCGUAAAGCGCGCGUAGGCGGCGACACAAGUCAGAGGUGAAAGCCCGGGGCUCAACCCCGGAACUGCCUUUGAAACUAGGUUGCUAGAAUCUUGGAGAGGUCAGUGGAAUUCCGAGUGUAGAGGUGAAAUUCGU
rnacentral:rRNA from 1 species